AGCCCUCAGCCACCUUCCCAGCCUGUGCCGGAGCACACGCGCCCCCGCACUUACUGACACUCUUCACGUGUCGGAUCUGACUCCUGAAGCAGGUAUCACGAGAAAGAGCAAAAUGCCCAUCUUUGCCUUUAAUAUUGAAACCAGCUGUGUUGAUUCCUCUCUGACCACCUCUCCCUCUGCCUCCCCCAAGUAGUUCACACAGAUAAAAUGUCUUCAGGACAAACAAGCAACCUUUCAACUUCAUGGCUUAUUAGCAAAAAGCCUUUUGAAGGCUUCUUUUCAAAAGCUGCAAGUACCCAGUAGAGGCCAUGGUGAUAUAAAAAAGGUUGUUCUUCUCUUAGAAGGAGAAACUUCAAAGCAAUCCCUGACAUCCCAGAAUUCGCUGCUUUUCCAGUAAAUAUCUGUUUGGGCCAGAGAAUUUCAAGCUUUUGGAUAAAUUCAAAGAUGAAGAGCCUGUAUUUGGCGCAGCAUUUCUAUUUGUGUUCUGCACCAGAAAACCUCAUCAACUGCAUGUAUAUAACAUCACAAGCUGAUCACUCAGAGUCAGAGGGGCAAACGUUCACUUUGGCUUUGCUGAGCCUUUCCUUGAAGAGCCAAAUCCAGCAAGGACAUAGGCAGGCUCCUGAGGCAGGUGUGAUGGAGGUGAACACAAGGCGGCAGGGGUAGGAGAGGAGUCUGUGCUCAAAAGGAGGGUUCAUUGCAAAUUCACUGGUGGGCAACCUUGUGGAAAGGAAGGUUUAAAGUAUUUGACUCACAACUUUUAAGGAUGCAAGAAAUACUGUGAAGUAUUUGCCGUAUUAAUUAUGAGUCAUUUAUAUGUAUUUGUUAGAGGACUUAUAUUAAGAAACCGGAGGGUUUUCAUUUUGCGGGGGUGUUUUUGGUAAUUUGUCCCCCCUGCCAACCCUCACUCAUCAGAUGUCCUUUCUGUGUCCAGCCUGGGCUCCAAUUUCACCAUCUUUCACAGACUUGCCACAAUUUUCCCUCCUAAGCUUCAGCAGCAGCUCAGGUGGACUAUUACUGGUUUUCUGCUGGCACAAGUUACCUUCCAUUCUAUAGAGAUCAAUCUCAAGCAAAGCCCUUGAACAACAUCUUUUCGAUAGGGAGAAUUGUUCACUUGUCCAUCACUGACUGCUGCCCUGGGUGAGAUCUCUAGCUCUCUGUCUAUAAUCACAACAAGCACAUCAUGCACACUCUUCCUUGUCGUAUGCAAAGUAAAAUCUCAAGAUCACUAAUGCAAAAGAAUUCAAGGGCCAACCAAAACCAAGAGAGUAAAAAGAUACUGUCUUGAGGAACAAAAUGGAGGCAAAAUAUUGACAGAGUGGUGACAUUUAUUGGAAGAAUUGAGAUUUAAUUGAAAUGAGCACAGAAUGAGAAGUUAGAAGCCCAUCCUAACCCUGCUUUUGCCACUAACUCACUGGGCAGUUCACUUCCCCUUUGCUCGAGUCUCUCCAUUGUAUAAUUUGAAUUAUCCACCCACCUAUCUGAGAUACGCAAAGUUACCUGUUUUGUUUAUUCAAAUACAUAUUCGUACUGAAUUUUAUAUUUGGUUAGUGUGAAAAGCAGUAUUUUUCAAAUAUGUAUUCCUUAGGAAGAAAUUAAGUCUCCAAUCUUCUUAGUGUCUAAGGAAUAGGGUCACCUCGCAAUUACAGGGUCAGUAGUGGUCCUUUGCCCACCCCUGGGACCCUUAAGCCUGGACAAAUAAUUUUUUUAUUUUUUGCAGCUAAGAAAGUCUGGCUUGUAGUUACAGAUUAAAUCUCAUAGGCAUCAGUACUUGAUGAUGUGACCGUGGGUUUAGAGUUCAGUUGCUGAAACUCAACUUCAGUCAGUUGAGCCAAUGGGAAUCAUGCUGUAGACAAUGAGCUCAUGCUAUCCAAAUCCAUCUGAGAACAAUUGAUCAAGCAGAACACAAAGGAGCAAAUGAGCUGGCCUGGUUUGGGAACAGAGACUACUCAUCCAUGGAGGUUUCUCUUUCCCAUCCAGUUGACCCAU
rnacentral:lncRNA from 1 species